rnacentral:rRNA from 1 species
AUUGAACGCUGGCGGCAUGCCUUACACAUGCAAGUCGAACGGCAGCACGGGUGCUUGCACCUGGUGGCGAGUGGCGAACGGGUGAGUAAUACAUCGGAACGUACCUUAUCGUGGGGGAUAACGCAGCGAAAGCUGUGCUAAUACCGCAUACGCCCUGAGGGGGAAAGCGGGGGAUCGAAAGACCUCGCGCGAUUAGAGCGGCCGAUGCCUGAUUAGCUUGUUGGUGGGGUAAAAGCCCACCAAGGCGACGAUCAGUAGCUGGUCUGAGAGGACGAUCGGCCACACUGGGACUGCGACACGGCCCAGACUCGUACGGGAGGCAGCAGUGGGGAAUUUUGGACAAUGGGGGCAACCCUGAUCAAGCAAUGCCGCGUGAGUGAAGAAGGCCUUCGGGUUGUAAAGCUCUUUUGUCAGGGAAGAAACACCGGCUCUAACACAGUCCGGGAAUGACGGUACCUGAAGAAUAAGCACCGGCUAACUACGUGCCAGCAGCCGCCGUAA